GGUUACGGCCAUGCCACGCUGUGCACGCCCGAUCUCGUUUGAUCUUGGAAGCUAAGCAGGGUUGGGGUUGGUUAGUAAAUGGAUGGGAGACUGCCUGGGAAUACCAGUUGAUGUAAGCU
ensembl:rRNA 5S_rRNA 5S ribosomal RNA